GAUGAACGCUGGCGGCGUGCCUAAUACAUGCAAGUCGAACGAACAGACGAGGAGCUUGCUCCUCUGACGUUAGCGGCGGACGGGUGAGUAACACGUGGAUAACCUACCUAUAAGACUGGGAUAACUUCGGGAAACCGGAGCUAAUACCGGAUAAUAUAUUGAACCGCAUGGUUCAAUAGUGAAAGACGGUUUUGCUGUCACUUAUAGAUGGAUCCGCGCCGCAUUAGCUAGUUGGUAAGGUAACGGCUUACCAAGGCAACGAUGCGAAGCCGACCUGAGAGGGUGAUCGGCCACACUGGAACUGAGACACGGUCCAGACUCCUACGGGAGGCAGCAGUAGGGAAUCUUCCGCAAUGGGCGAAAGCCUGACGGAGCAACGCCGCGUGAGUGAUGAAGGUCUUCGGAUCGUAAAACUCUGUUAUUAGGGAAGAACAAAUGUGUAAGUAACUAUGCACGUCUUGACGGUACCUAAUCAGAAAGCCACGGCUAACUACGUG
rnacentral:rRNA from 1 species